GCCACGCCCGCUACAGAAACUACAAAGGAAGUUCGACGGGACCCCGCACAAGCGGUGGAUCAUGUUGUUAAUUCGAUGAUACGCGAAGAACCUUACCAGGUCUUGACAUCCCCCGCGAUGCUUUAGAGAUAAAGCGGAGGUAUUCGGGGAGACAGGUGGUGCAUGGUUGUCGUCAGCUCGUGUCGUGAGAUGUUGGGUUAAGUCCCGCAACGAGCGCAACCCUAUUGCUAGUUACCAUCAUUAAGUUGGGGACUCUAGCGAGACUGCCAGUGAUAAACUGGAGGAAGGUGGGGAUGACGUCAAGUCACCAUGGCCCUUAUGUCCUGGGUUACACACGUGCUACAAUGGCCGGUACAGAGCGCAGCGAAGCCGCGAGGCAAAGCGAAUCGCAAAAAGCCGGUCUCAGUACGGAUUGGAGUCUGAAACUCGACUCCAUGAAGUUGGAAUCGCUAGUAAUCGCGCAUCAGCAUGGCGCGGUGAAUACGUUCCCGGGCCUU
rnacentral:rRNA from 1 species